CACCUGGCUGAUCCCAAGGAGCGGCUGGUCCCCUAUCACUUCUCCAACCCUCAGCCUGGAUGUAGGAGGAGGCUGGCCUCCGUGUUGGUGAGAGCUGCCCAGUGGGGUUUUCCUCUGCAGAAGGAAAAGUGCUCUGUCUGCCCAGAAUGCCUGCCUCACACUCAUCGUCUGCCAGAUACCCAGCCUUUCCUCCUGGAACCGUGUCCGGAAAUCGUAGCGAUGACCUGAGCUGAGUGCA
rnacentral:lncRNA from 1 species